UGCGCCUACAAUCCGUCAGAGCCUCCUCGUGGGGUGAUGGCGUGCCUUUUGAAGAAUGAGCCUGCGAGUCAGGGACAUGUCGCGAGGUUAACCCGUGUGGGGUAGCCGCAGCGAAAGCGAGUCUGAAUAGGGCGUAUCCCGUAAGGGGUGUAGUGGCAUGUUCUGGACCCGAAGCGGAGUGAUCUACCCAUGGCCAGGGUGAAGGCGGGUAAGACCGCGUGGAGG
rnacentral:rRNA from 1 species